GAUGAACGCUGGCGGCGUGCCUAAUACAUGCAAGUCGAGCGAACAGACGAGGAGCUUGCUCCUCUUACGUUAGCGGCGGACGGGUGAGUAACACGUGGAUAACCUACCUAUAAGACUGGGAUAACUUCGGGAAACCGGAGCUAAUACCGGAUAAUAUAUUGAACCGCAUGGUUCAAUAGUGAAAGACGGUUUUGCUGUCACUUAUAGAUGGAUCCGCGCCGCAUUAGCUAGUUGGUAAGGUAACGGCUUACCAAGGCAACGAUGCGUAGCCGACCUGAGAGGGUGAUCGGCCACAGUGGAACUGAGACACGGUCCAGACUCCUAAGGGAGGCAGCAGUAGGGAAUCUUACGCAAUGGGCGAAAGCUUGACGGAGCAACGCCGCGUGAGUGAUGAAGGUCUUCGGAUCGUAAAACUCUGUUAUUAGGGAAGAACAAAUGUGUAAGUAACUAUGCACGUCUUGAGGGUACCUAAUCAGAAAGCCACGGCUAACUACGUG
rnacentral:rRNA from 1 species